rnacentral:rRNA from 1 species
UACGGAGGGUGCAAGCGUUAUCCGGAUUCACUGGGUUUAAAGGGUGCGUAGGUGGGCUGGUAAGUCCGUGGUGAAAUCCCUGAGCUUAACUCAGGAACUGCCGUGGAUACUAUCAGUCUUGAAUGCUGUGGAGGUAAGCGGAAUAUGUCAUGUAGCGGUGAAAUGCUUAGAUAUGACAUAGAACACCAAUUGCGAAGGCAGCUUGCUACACGGUUAUUGACACUGAGGCACGAAAGCGUGGGGAUCAAACAGG